CGGCGCGGCAUCGCGCAGAGAGAAAAUAUUUAUAGGUAUAAGAGGGGUCCGCGUCUGAUUAGCUAGUUGGAGGGGUAACGGCCCACCAAGGCGACGAUCAGUAGCCGGCCUGAGAGGGUGAACGGCCACAUUGGGACUGAGACACGGCCCAAACUCCUACGGGAGGCAGCAGUGGGGAAUAUUGCGCAAUGGGGGAAACCCUGACGCAGCAACGCCGCGUGAAGGAUGAAGGUUUUCGGAUUGUAAACUUCUAUCGAUGGGGAAGAAAAAAAUGACUGUACCCAAGUAAGAAGCACCGGCUAAAUACGUGCCAGCAGCCGCGGUAAUACGUAUGGUGCAAGCGUUAUCCGGAAUUACUGGGCGUAAAGGGUGAGUAGGCGGUCGAAUAAGUCAUAUGUGAAAAUCCAGGGCUCAACCCUGGACUUGCAUAAGAAACUGUUUGGCUAGAGUGCAGGAGAGGUAAGCGGAAUUCCUAGUGUAGCGGUGAAAUGCGUAGAU
rnacentral:rRNA from 1 species